UGCAGUCGACGGUAACAGGAAAGCAGCUUGCUGCUUUGCUGACGAGUGGCGGACGGGUGAGUAAUGUCUGGGAAACUGCCUGAUGGAGGGGGAUAACUACUGGAAACGGUAGCUAAUACCGCAUAACGUCGCAAGACCAAAGAGGGGGACCUUCGGGCCUCUUGCCAUCAGAUGUGCCCAGAUGGGAUUAGCUUGUUGGUGGGGUAACGGCUCACCAAGGCGACGAUCCCUAGCUGGUCUGAGAGGAUGACCAGCCACACUGGAACUGAGACACGGUCCAGACUCCUACGGGAGGCAGCAGUGGGGAAUAUUGCACAAUGGGCGCAAGCCUGAUGCAGCCAUGCCGCGUGUAUGAAGAAGGCCUUCGGGUUGUAAAGUACUUUCAGCGGGGAGGAAGGUGUUGUGGUUAAUAACCGCAGCAAUUGACGUUACCCGCAGAAGAAGCACCGGCUAACUCCGUGCCAGCAGCCGCGGUAAUACGGAGGGUGCAAGCGUUAAUCGGAAUUACUGGGCGUAAAGCGCACGCAGGCGGUCUGUUAAGUCAGAUGUGAAAUCCCCGGGCUCAACCUGGGAACUGCAUCUGAUACUGGCAGGCUUGAGUCUCGUAGAGGGGGGUAGAAUUCCAGGUGUAGCGGUGAAAUGCGUAGAGAUCUGGAGGAAUACCGGUGGCGAAAGCGGCCCCCUGGACGAAGACUGACGCUCAGGUGCGAAAGCGUGGGGGAGCAAACAGGAUUAGAUACCCUGGGUAGUCCACGCCCGUAAACGAUGUCGACUUGGAAGGUUGUGCCCCUUGAGGCGUGGCUUUCCGGAGCUAACGCGUUAAGUCGAC
rnacentral:rRNA from 1 species